GUUGUACUGUGUCCCACCCUGUGGGAUGUCCCCUUGCAUGGGGACUUGCAUAAAAGCCAGUGUGUGGCCAUUACAGAGAGUUCCUGCUUAACCCUCAAAGUGAAGUGUCGUCUCAUUAUUGGGGAAGGAGUUAUUGUAUGCUGUUCCAGUUUGAUUGCCAGGAGUGUAAGCUGAUUGUAUGCUUUUCCUGUUCAGCUGUUUCCAGUAUUCGUGAGUUUCCUGUUCAGGAGUUGGAGAAUUCGUGUAGUUUGCAGUUCGGGAGAUUGGUGCUUGCAGUAGCUGUCUGUGCAUCUGAAAGGGGAAUAUCGCCUAAACGGUUUUUAACCUCUUGUGUGCAAAACAGUCCGUUAC